rnacentral:rRNA from 1 species
CGAAAGCCUGACGGAGCAACGCCGCGUGUGGGAAGAAGGCUCUUGGGCUGUCAACCACUUUUCUCAGGGAAGAAGAUCUGACGGUACCUGAGGAAUCAGCCUCGGCUAACUCCGUGCCAGCAGCCGCGGUAAUACGGAGGAGGCAAGCGUUAUCCGGAAUUAUUGGGCGUAAAGCGUCCGCAGGUGGCUUAUCAAGUCUGCUGUCAAAGACCGAAGCUCAACUUUGGAAAGGCAGUGGAAACUGGUCAGCUAGAGAACGGUAGGGGUAGAGGGAAUUCCCAGUGUAGCGGUGAAAUGCGUAGAGAUUGGGAAGAACACCGGUGGCGAAAGCGCUCUACUGGGCCGUAUCUGACACUCAGGGACGAAAGCUAGGGUAGCG